rnacentral:rRNA from 1 species
AGUCAACAUGCCCAGAGGACGUGGAUAACCUCGGGAAACUGAGGAUAAACCGCGAUAGGUCAUAAUAUCUGGAAUGAUUUAUGGUUUAAAUCUAUAUGGCCUCUGGAUUGGACUGCGGCCGAUCAGGCUGUUGGUGAGGUAAUGGCCCACCAAACCUAAAACCGGUACGGGCUCUGAGAGGAGAAGCCCGGAGAUGGGCACUGAGACAAGGGCCCAGGCCCUAUGGGGCGCAGCAGGCGCGAAAACUCUGCAAUAAGCGAAAGCUUGACAGGGUUAUUCUGAGUGAUUUCCGCUAAGGAAAUCUUUUGGCACCUCUAAAAAUGGUGCAGAAUAAGGGGUGGGCAAGCCUGGUGUCAGCCGCCGCGGUAAUACCAGCACCCCGAGUGGUCGGGACGAUUAUUGGGCCUAAAGCAUCCGUAGCCGGUUCUACAAGUCUUCCGUUAAAUCCACCUGCUUAACAGAUGGGCUGCGGAGGAUACUAUGGAGCUAGGAGGCGGGAGAGGCAAGCGGUACUUAGUGGGUAGGGGUAAAAUCCGUUGAUCCAUUGAAGACCACCAGUGGCGAAGGCGGCUUGCCAGAACGCACUCGACGGUGAGGGAUGAAAGCUGGGGGAGCAAACCGGAUUAGAUACCCGGGUAGUCCCAGCUGUAAACGAUGCAGACUCGGUGAUGAAUAGGCUUCGUGCCUAUUCAGAGCCGCAGGGAAGCCGUUAAGUCUGCCGCCUGGGGAGUACGGUCGCAAGACUGAAACUUAA